GCGGCUCUCGUGAGCGUCUCAGCCAAAUUCGUUACACGGUAACAGCGUGAUGUUUCGUGGUUUCCUCAAGAAUCGCUGUGCUGUUUACAGAGCGCCUUCAUCUACCGUGGCCGGGGCUGGCCGCUGUUCGGCGAACCGGUCUCUACUGUCUGAGGGCCACGUUCCAGGCCUUCUAUUCUCUCACGCUGCGCGGCGUGCGUCAGGAUGGUUUUUCAGCGAGUGUCGGGCAUCAAAAACCCGAAGCUGCCUCUGGCACGCAACCCUCCGAGAACCGUUCACUUCCGAGGCUCUCUACCCGCUUUUGUCUUCCAGCUAUUCCGCAGUCGGCUUGUAGGCUCCACCUGUACGUGACCCCAUCCCCUGCCGUCGUUAACUUUGUAAGGUAAACGGCGGAUGUCCUACUAUGCGGUCCAAGGGGUUUUUCUGGUACCAUAUGGUUCUGUCUUCCAAGUGGCUCAGCAGCAAUAUACAGAUGACCCGUCACCGCAGCAGACGGAAGGUGGCAUCCGGCCUUAUCGCAGGCAGGGGUGUGCCCGGGGGCGCUGGUGAGACGGGCCGCAUGUGAUGACACGUGACCUCUCGGGUCCCUGAAGGCCGGAACUUUGCCCGGCUACUCGUCCCUCCGGCCAGCGAUCUUACUGAGUGACCCCAGCGGCGGGAGGAAGGCACCCGGUCAUGCACCCUGAUAUGCUGGGAGUCCACGUCGGGCCUCCAGAGCACUUCUCGGCCAGUGCAGCUUCAGCCCAUCUCACGUUCCUGUUAAUCUUUAGGGUGGGAAGAGUACUUCUGCUUCCUGACAAGGCAAAUUGUGCAAAGUCAUGGCUUAAAUGUCACAAUUCAGGGCGUAUCUGUCAGGGAGUCAGCUGAGGGAGCCCCCCUAGAACCACAUGCGGGGCGAUUUCAUCGCGCAAGAUCCAAAGGAAAGCGAGCCCCCAGAACUGUGCCUCCCCAGAGGGUGUCUGGAUUGCAGAGCAAAGGAAAGGGGCCCCACGAAAGGGGAGGGCCUGCCACCAGUGAGGGAACAUGCAGGAAAUGGAGGGCCCCGCGAACAGUCAAGUGCCUUGAAAAUGCUAAUUCACUCCAGAGAAGACCAGCAUCUCACGAUUAACCUUGGAUGGGUUCCUUGUAAUACUCCUAGAUUAAGAAUUCAAACACGUGCCUUGGCCUCUACCAUUGGAUCUUGGAAAAUGUCCUUGUGUGAUUAGGAAUAGUUUUAUUUUUUAAAUGUUCUUAAAGAUUUUGGCUUUU